GAUGAACGCUGGCGGCGUGCCUAAUACAUGCAAGUCGAGCGAACAGACGAGGAGCUUGCUCCUCUGACGUUAGCGGCGGACGGGUGAGUAACACGUGGAUAACCUACCUAUAAGACUGGGAUAACUUCGGGAAACCGGAGCUAAUACCGGAUAAUAUAUUGAACCGCAUGGUUCAAUAGUGAAAGACGGUUUUGCUGUCACUUAUAGAUGGAUCCGCGCCGCAUUAGCUAGUUGGUAAGGUAACGGCUUACCAAGGCAACGAUGCGUAGCCGACCUGAGAGGGGGAUCGGCCACACUGGAACUGAGACAAGGUCCAGACUCCCAAGGGAGGGAGAAGUAGGGAAUCUUCCGCAAUGGGCGGAAGCCUGACGGAGCCACGCCCCGGGAGUGAAGAAGGUCUUCGGAUUGUAAAACUCUGUUAUUAGGGAAAAAAAAAAGUGUAAGUAACUAUGCACGGCUUGACGGUACCCAAUCAGAAAGCCACGGCUAAAUACGUG
rnacentral:rRNA from 1 species